rnacentral:rRNA from 1 species
UACGAAGGGGGGCUAGCGUUGCUCGGAAUCACUGGGCGUAAAGCGUGCGUAGGCGGUUCGCUGUGUCCGAUGUGAAAGCCCCGGGCUUAACCUGGGAAUGGCAUUGGAAACUGUCGAGCUAGAGUCCGGAAGAGGCGAGUGGAAUUCCUGGUGUAGCGGUGAAAUGCGCAGAUAUCAGGAGGAACACCAAUGGCGAAGGCAGCUCGCUGGGACGGUACUGACGCUGAGGAGCGAAAGCGUGGGGAGCGAACAGG